AGAGCUGACCGACACCUGCACCUCUCUCAUCUGCACACCUGGGUGCUGGCAUUCCCUGCACCAUCAGGCAGAGUGGGGAAAGCUGUGUGAAUUACUGAGUCCAUUAGCAGCCCUCCUUUGCUGCAUGGCUGUGAGCUUUCGAUGAGAGAACCCCAAAGAGGCUCUGGAAGUCACACGAGAGGGAAGAUGAACCAGAUGGCUUCUCUGCAAAAUUAAGAUUGGAUUUUAGGGCUUCAUAUGAUUUACAAGCAGUUGUUUCCUGCUGGCAGCAGAUUGUGUGCUUGCAAGGAGGACAUUUGAAAAAAGCCAGAAGUGGAGUGACACCAACUGGCACAGCUACCCAGCUCUAUGUGAGGACAACAAAGUGGUGCUUAAACAGAAGUGUGCUUUCACAUAGUGCAAUUAGAGAUGUUCUCCCUUAUGAUAUCAAGCAAAGAAGUGUCAAUAAUUGUCUCCCGGAGGCAUUUUUCUACCCUGCUUCUACAGAGACCCUAUCAAACAAAAGACAACUACCAAUUGUUUUGUAUUCCUUUGGACUCAACUCACUAUACAGGAGAUGUAUGAUGACUCAGACAGCUUGGAUGCACUGCCCCUAAAUCAGCAAUGAGAACCAAUUGUUCUUUGCUAACAUAGAAGCAGACUACUCACCAGUUGGUUGUCCGAUAGAACUUUGGCUCCUGAUGGGGAAUGGUCUCAGUCUUGUGCUGAACUAAAUCCCAAGAGAUUUGGACACAUAACAAGUACAAGGAUGGAGCAGAACUGCUGAAUACUGAUGCUGUACAGUUAAUGAGUCUGUAAGCAAAUUAAGCCAUUUUGGCCUCCUGAUAAACAUACACUAUUGGGUUGAACAAGCAAUAGGCACGUACCAAAAGCCACCUUUUUCAUGGUGACAAUGCUGAAAGUCAUUUCCUGGUGCUUUUUGAGCAGAAAGGCUGCUAUGCUAGUAGAUACCUUCUCCAUAACAUCUUUAUUCCUAAGGGAAAGAUAGAUUUGGAAAAAGAAAACGUUUUAGCUGUUACUCAAGUUUUGACCAAAGGCUCUGCACCAGCCAUUAAAAACUUUACAGGAAAACACUGUAAGCAUAAUUGUUGGCUUUUUGAGCAAGAGUAAAAGUUUAAAACUCAUGGCACAGCGCGAGUAAAAACAAACCAAGAGCAGUCCUGCUGUCAAGUGUCCAGAGUAUGCAGGAGACCAGCGAGAGCCCAUGGCCAAGGCGUUGCAUUGCUGGCAGAUCUCUCGUGCUGGGUCUGUAAAUUCUUGUCCAAAGCCCAGAACAAUCGAGGCGCUCCUAUUGAGUUCCUUGACCUUGGGAUUAGGCAGGAUGUAAAACAGGAGGACACGGACAGCAAUAACAUGUUUUGGAAAAGUUAUGCAAAUGAUGUUAAAGUACACAGUUUAAAAUAUUAGCUCUGGCAGAAGACGACUGCUGAAGUUUCAGUCAAGGGGAACAAAUACUCAAUAAAUUAAAAACUCAAGAUUUGGCUUUGAAACAAUUGCUUUGUAAGCAAAUGUUCCCUUUUGUGGUCUGCAUGAAAUGUACUCGGGGAAGUGAUCUGGGGGCAGAUACUGCCAUCAUCAAAUCCACCUGAAGAAAUAGCUUGAACUUGCACUUCUGUUGCCAUCCAGGAGCUUGACAGAGGGCUGACAACUCUCUCUAUCCUUUUCCACAUAACAGAGAUCUUCCUAGAGCAGAGCUGUGACCCAUUUGUGGCUGCAGGAGAAAAACUGCAUCACUGCUGCCAGGUCAGAGCCCCUUGGUGCCAGCCCAGCAGCUACUGUGAGCAGGGGUUGGCUUACAUUGUACAACAGAAGCCCAGUCCACGGUGGGAUAUGUAUAUUUUUUAAACUAAUACUGUAAAUAUGCAUAUCUUCAAUGUUUUCAAAACAAAGUCUAGAUCACAUAACACUGUAUUCUGUGAUGAUUUCAAUUAUCUGGUAAAUCUGCUGUGCUUUUAUCCACAAUGGAUUCCUCUCCCUGAAAGGAGAAAAGAGGUCAGAAGCAGCAAGAAGGAGCUGGCAAAAAAAAAAAAAGUCAGUUAUUUGGCAGAACAAGGAAUACUUAGUGGCAAGGACCAUGUUUAUAUAAUGAAAUUAAUAAAAUGGGACCAGUCAGAUGUGUAUUGCUGCUGAGAAGGAGAGUGGCAACUGGAGUUGCUCUGGAUGCUGCUGUUGUUGCUCCCUUGGCUGUCGCAGCCAAACACCUCAUGUUGUGUUCAUCUUCUGAAUGCUGAUAUAUGUACAUAAAUCCCCAUCUUACAAAGGGAGGAGCAAGACAACAGGGUUUUAAAUGAAUUGCUUUAGUCUGAGGGUGGCAUGAGCAUCUGGAUGGGGAACAAAUCUGCUGGCUCUGGCUGUCCUUCCCAUCCCUUCAGUACAGGUUCUCCCUGUACAGGCUGAAGCACAAAUCCCCACUGCAUUUUCAAGAACGCAGGAAUUGGAUAUGGCAUUGGUCAUUUCUUGCCAAGAGCUGAGGAAGAGGCAGAGCUCCUCUGUGGCUCAGAUGCAGCAAAGCCCCAAGUUCCCUCAUUGCUGCCCUGUGCAGCAAUCAGCUCAAUACUGAGUGCAUCGAGCCAGCUGCGUGCAUUUCACAUCAAUGGUCACAGUCCAUCCAUCCUACUCUGUCAGAGCUGCUUCUUCCUCUUUGUGUGCUUAAUCCCUCAUAGGUAAUGUGGUGGAUAUUACAAAAGUUAUGCAUCAAGAAAGAAUCAUAACUGGAAAACUUUGCAAAUUCAGACUUCCCAAAGAUUGUAAAAUCUCAGAACUCAGAAGCCCUGGCUCACUUUUCACAUUUGGCUGCAAUGUUUCCCUGAUUAAAGGCCAAGCACAGCCACAGACGUAUUGCCCAGGUGGGACCUGGGUUCUACCUACAAACUCCAGAGCCUGGAAUCACACUGCCCAAGAAGGAGGUGAGUCCCCAGUGCUGCUUCUGUUCUGGGAGCCAUCCAUGAAACACUUUUGGCCUGUGCCACUGGUAUAAUCCAUUGGGGUCAGAGACCUGCCUGUGGGCAAUGUGCACGCAGCCUUUGUUUUACAGGUUGAGAACUAAUGGUUAUGGCCAUGAGUUAUCAGAUGCCAGCUGGCCACUAUCUGAAGGACAGUCCCAAGCAUAUUUAAUUUAUUAGCAGAGAGAAACCCUAAUUGAAUUGACAGUCUGCUUAUUGGGAACUGGGGAUUCUUUCAAGAUCUGAUCAUUUAAUGACAGUGAAUCUCUGCCUCAGUGAAAACUUCUGGAUUUGACCCAAAGUAAAUUAGUCAAAAAGCAUAGCAAAAAAUGUGCCCAACAAACCUCCUACAGAUUCUGAGCUGCGUAUGAAGGGCUAUGGAGGCAGCCUCUGUAUUG